rnacentral:lncRNA from 1 species
AAAAAAAUUUAUUUCGGCAGAUAACCCUAUUUUGUCCGGCUCAGUAUAGAGAUAGAAAAAUAAUUGAAAGGUGGUCAAUCGUUUACCGUCUUUAAUGCAAUUUAGAAGAUGGUGAAAGAUUCACCAUCUUUUUUUAUUCUUUAAAGACAGUAAAUGGUGCAUGGUCUUUUCCUUAAAGAUAAAAAUGGUGAAUGAUUUGCCAUAUCUUUCUAUUUUUCAUAUAUAAUAUCAACAAUCACAUAAUAAUUUUUCAACAAAUUAUAUAUAAUCCUAACAACCUAAAAUAUUCUAACAACAUACCUGCACUAUUUUAACGAUCAAACAAAAAUUCUAAUAAUCCCCAUAUAAUCUUAACAACCUCAUAAAACUUAUAAAAUAAUGAAAACAAUAUAAAAAUGGCUAAUCAUUCGUCGUUUUCUAAAGACGGUGAAUGAUUCACCGUGUUUCUCAAGUUAGUUGGCUAAAUAAAAUUUUGAAAGAGUUAUUUGAAAAAUUAGAAAAUUUUAUAGAAUUAUCAUUAAAAAAAGUCUGCUUAGAG